GAUGAAGAACGUAGCGAAAUGCGAUAAGUAGUGUGAAUUGCAGAAUUCAGUGAAUCAUCGAAUCUUUGAACGCACAUUGCGCCUUCUAGUAUUCUGGGAGGCAUGCCUGUUUGAGCGUCAUUAAACCUCUCUCAAGUAUGAUUACUUGGAUGUGAAGGAAGAGUACCUUAAGCUUAAGGAGUGUUCUCCUUUGAAAUUGAUUAGCAGAUGGUAAUGUUAUUAAAUCCCUGAUGUUGUAAGAAAUAACAGUGGUUUUGUAGACUAUUAUCUAGCUUUAAAUUAUAAUUUUUAUUAUGGUUGACCUCAAAUCAGGUAAGGAUACCCGCUGAACUUAAGCAUAUCAAUAAGCGGAGGA
rnacentral:misc_RNA from 1 species